GCUCAGAUGGGUGAGCUGUGGCCAUAAACACCUGAGAUCUACGUCCAACACCAGCAUGCUACAGCUGUGGGACUUCUGGUUCAAAACCUUCCGAGCACCUAUUUCCUCAUCUGUAAAAUAAGAUUAGGAUGACUACCCAUACCUUUUUUUUUUUUUUUUCCUGUAAUUUAGUUUUCAGAGAGAACUUUUCGGGUGAGUGUUUACUUAAUAAUACCUCCUUGGACGCCUGGGUGGCUCGAUCGCCAAGCAUCUGACUUUGGCUCAGGUCGUGGUCUCACGGUUCAUGAGUGCUAGCCCUGGAUCAGGUGAGCUCGAGCCCCGCUUCCUUCUUCCUCUCUCUCUCUCUCCCUCUCCCCUUCUGCCCCUCCUGGGAUUCUCUCUCCCUCCCUCUGCCCCUGGCUCAUUUGCACCCUUUCUUUCUCUCAAAAAAACCAAAACCCAAAGCAAAAACCGUCUUAACACAUCUUAUCCUGUUGAGUAGAGGAGUAUCAUGACCGUUUUCGUAUGUUUCUGUUUGUUUGCCGAUUGUAAAAGUAACACAGGCCCACAAUCCUGUCUUAGAACCUAAGGGCCAGAGGCAUUUUGCACGUCAGGCUUUUUUUUUUUUCAUAGUUUAGAAGUGUUUUAUUUAUGCUGAAUAUCAAAUCAACAGUUUAAUACUUCUGAGAAAUGUAUGAAUAUUUACAUCACCUGAGAUCGUUAAAAGCCCUCAUAUACAUUCAGAGGAGUCCAGAUUUGCCAUCAAAUAAACUGUGGAUUUUGCAAUUGUGGCUGAGGGAUUAUAAACAGGACUUUGCACAUGUUUUAGUAGAAAACUUAGGAAAACACAGUGUGGUACCAAAAAGAAAAUAAUGAUAUUAACAAGAGAUAACUGCUAAAAUUUCCAUGUGUCUCUCCUAAUUCAUUGAAUUAUUCAGCAAUGUUUUCAAACACCUAUUAGAUGUUCCAGGCGAGCGGUUCUUGAUCAGGGGCAAUUUUGUCACCCAAGGGACAUUUGGCAAUACCUGGAGACAUUUUGGUUGUCAUAACUGGGUGGGGAGAGGGGAACCCCCAGCACCUAGUGAGUAGAGGUCAGGGAUGCUGCAAAACAUUCUGUAAUUCACAGGACAACCCCCACGACAGAGAAUGAUCCAGCCCCCGUGUCAGUAGGGCCAUGACUGGGAAACCUUGGUCUGGGUUCUGGGCAUAUAGCAAUAAGCAAAACAAUAAAAAAUUAAUCUGUUUAGUAAGGAUUUGUUAAAUAUAUGUAAUAUAUAUACACACAGACAGAUAUAUGUGUUUUUAAAAUGUGGUAUUAUUCACUGUAUAGUUUGUUACUUAACAUUGCUUCACAAACAUUUUACAAUAUUAUCAAAAGUUCUUCAAACACAUGAUUUUUAGGCCCAGAAUACAUUCCUUCAGAAAGACAUACAAUUUUGGGGCGCCUGGGUGGUGCAGUCGGUUAAGCGUCCGACUUCAGCCAGGUCACGAUCUCGCGGUCUGUGAGUUCGAGCCCCGCGUCGGGCUCUGGGCUGAUGGCUCAGAGCCUGGAGCCUGUUUCCGAUUCUGUGUCUCCCUCUCUCUCUGCCCCUCCCCCGUUCAUGCUCUGUCUCUCUCUGUCCCAAAAAUAAAUAAACGUUGAAAAAAAAAAUUAAAAAAAAAAAAGUUUUAAAAAAGAAAGACAUACAAUUUUUAGCCAUGGCUUUAUAUUAAAGUGGAUUCUUCCCUUUUUUUUUUCUGUUAUUUAAAACAAUACCAUGAUGAAUAUCCUUACCUCUGCAUCUCUGACUAUUCCAGUAGAUGCUAAGGCUUGAGGUUCAUUCUAGGGGUGGGGAGACUGAAUCAAAGGGUAUACGCUUUUAAAUCAUCCUCGAUGUACCUGAUGAAAGUGCUUUGCAGAAAAGUUGUCCCCAUUUUACUUGGUGUAAGAGUUUACAUUUAAAAAUCGGGAGUCUUAUGGUAUUAAAUAACAAACAGAGCUGGUUUGAGCUCACAAUAACACUUCUAGAAAAUUCUGAUAACUGGAAGAGGCCUUCAGAAGGAGGAGCAUACAAUAUGUUGGGCUCAAAUUCUACUCACCAUUUGAAACUGAAUGGAUGGGGUAUAUUUCCUCUCAAUCAGUCCCAUGGUACUCAUUGCAUUUUAAUCCUCCCAGAAUGCAAACAGAUUGGAUGCAGUUCAAAGACUGGGCAGCAAAACAUAAUUAAGAAGUGACUGACUUUUGGGAAAAGACGAAAAGAGCUCCAAGUCCGAAAGUCAUGUUGCAGAAACCCCUGGAAGGAGGUGAUCACCAUUUCCAAGCAUGGAAAUUCAGGAAAUAAAAGACAAGGAGAGGAACUUCUGGGAGAGGGGCAGGAGUUCAAAAGGUAAUGGGAUCUACUUGAACAAUGAGAAUUCCAGAGUGAAAUCUCAAGAGGAAACUUCCCCGUGGUUCUUUAUAAGAAUAAUCUGUCAAGGAAAUGAUAGAAUUCCUUUAAAAGAGUAAGUGGGUAAGCCAGUAAGGGAGCGCAGGUCAAUUAGAUAAUGGGAUUUUUUUUUCUCCAGAGGGAGUUGCAUGAGAACCUACUAGAAUGGGUAAGAUUGGCCCUUCCCCAGGAGGUGAACGAGUAUACACAGUGUCUGUGAUAAAUCACAGUUGAAUGGACGUGAUUUGAAGGGAAGAGAAUGCACAUUUCUUCUGAGGCUAAACACCAGCACCACCAAAAAGCCCAUCAUUUAGAGUGGGGGUCGGCCAACCUUUUCCGUGAGAAGCAUGGAUCAUAAAUGUUCUCUGCCGUGUGGUCCUCCCGGCUCUGUGUCACCUGCUCUACUCUGCCUUUGUUGACUGAAAGCAGUCAUAGAUGAUAUGUAAAUCAUACGCGUGGCUGUGUUUCAAUAAAACUUUAUUGACAAAGACAGUGCUCAGGAAGCUUGGUUUGCUGACCCCUGAUCUAGAGGUGGUGUAAAAAAAACAAAACAAAACAAAAUGAGGAGGUUCUGGAGAUGUGGGCUCAAAGGCCGUUUCUACGCCCGCCGGGCAGUGUAACCCCAGGCAAGCAAAUUGACUUUUUGAAUAUCACUCUUACCGACUCCCAAAAGGGGGUAACUGGAGGGUCUACCUUACGAAUUUGUUCUCAGAAUCAAAUAGAACCAUGCCUGUAUCAUGUUUAGCACAGGCCUGAGCACAUAGCAGCGGUAAGAACAGGGGGAGAGAAAAGAAGGCAGGUUUUCCUGAGGUUCUUCUCCCAUGGUAUCUGGGUUUGUGUCAAUGUUUCCUCCAAAAGCACAAGUUCCCGAAGUUCGUCCUGUUUCAUACGCGUCCCAGUGUCUAUGCCUCGGCGCGUAGCGACCGUCCUGUCUGGCAGGGCCUCUAAGAGCGGGAGGAGGGAUGAGGACUGGGUGCCCAUGGGUGAGCCAGGGAAAGCAGCCAGGAGACGGGGAGUGAGGGAAGCAGAACAGGGCAGGGAAGAAACUAAGUGCAGAUUCAGCCUGACCGCACGGCGUUGGCCUCACCCGCAGGCAGAGGGGGCUGGCCUUUCACCCUGGGACAGUCGGUCACUGGCCGUGGGCUGACCACAUCAAGGGCGAGGAG
rnacentral:lncRNA from 1 species